rnacentral:tRNA from 1 species
AAAAAUAUAGUUUAAUUAAAAUUUAUCUUUGUCAAGGAUAAGAAGUGGAAUCACUAUUUUUA